CCGUGGGGGUGACUUGUAGACAAGCAGUUCCUGCAAAACCCUCAUGAAAUCGGUUCCCGGGGUGUGGCUUUCACCUUCAUCGCUCCGCUAGCUGAUUCCAUUGGAGGCCUGAUUCAAUCACCAUUUCUUCACAAUCUUUGUUGAAAUGCAAGUCGUCUCCAGCUCUCGUAGGCUUUCCAAUCUUCUCAAAUCUUCUUCCAUCUUUCUCCAGUUCGAUCGAUUUCUUGUAUCUAAUUUUCCAGUAAACGAGGAUCCUCGAGCUUUUUAUCAAUGGCGGACUGUUUCUGGGAUAGCUCGACAGUGUUGUUCAACAAUGGCACAAGACUAUUCCGUUCCUAUGUAUCUCUCGAUGCCUAAUGCUUCUUUUUCAUCAGUGGCACAUGCUGAUGAGGGCACCGCUACAGGUUUCACUGCCAAGGAAAUAUAUGAUAAAAUGCUUGAAUCUGUAGAGGUUAAAAGAAGCAUGCCUCCCAAUGCUUGGAUGUGGUCAUUGAUUGAAAAUUGUAAAACUUACGAGGAUAUUCAGCUUCUAUUUGGCAUUUUGAAAAGGCUGCGGAUAUUUAGGCUAUCAAAUCUUCGUAUUCAUGAUAAUUAUAAUUCUCAUCUUUGCCAAGAGAUCACUAAAGCAUGUGUACGGGCGGGUGCCCUUCAAUUUGGAAAGAAGACCUUGUGGAUCCAUAACGUGAAUGGAUUGACGCCUAGUGUUGCAUCUGCUCACCAUCUACUGGCAUAUGCCGAAGAUCACAAUGAUCUAAAACUCAUGGCUGAAGUUGUGACACUUAUAAGAAGGAAUAAAUUGCCACUACAACCUGGUACUGCAGAUAUUGUUUUCAGGAUGUGUUAUAAUGCUGAUGAUUGGGAGUUGCUUUCCAAGUACUUCAAAAAAUUCUCCAAGGCUGGAGUAAAAUUUCGCCGAACAUCUUUUGACACGUUGAUGGGAUUUGCUUCCAAAAUGGGAGAUGUUGAUUGUCUAUGGAAAUUUGAUAGGAUGAGAUCUGAAACAACGAAGCAACAUACUCUUGGAAGUGCAUUUUCAUGUGCUAAGGGUUUUCUUUUAGAACGUAAGCCUAAGGAAGCUGCUGCUAUCAUUCAUGAAAUUUAUCAGGCCUUUCCAAAUUCCAAGUCAGACUUUACGACCGAGAUUCAAAAGAUAGUCAAUGAAUGGCCUGCAGAAGUUAGCAAGCACCAAAAAGAAGCUCACAGAGAGGAAUUUGAUUCGGAUCUUAAAUCUUAUAUUUCUACAAUGCUUAGUAAUCUACAAAAUGUUGGUGUAGAGGUGAACGUAAACUUCUAAAUUGGUAAAGGACACACCUUAAUUUCAGAUGAAUUUUCAGCUUGAUUCGAAAAUGAUUUGUAAUGAUGGGGGAUAUAAUCAAGAGCUGAAUCCAGUUGGGAGGGUGAACAGAGUUGUUUGUUUCUUUACGAAGACUUAGAGACACUGGUUCAAAAGAGACUUGAGACGUUGAGACGACACAAAAGAUGGCAAGAUGAGCCCAAGCAAGAGUGAGGAUGCGAGCAAGAUUGAUGAACCCUGAAUUGACAAGAGCUUCUAUUAUAUUUUCAUGCGUUGCUGGCAAAAGCUAAAAUCUUGGCUGUUCUAUUUUGGCUCGGCCCUUAGGUGGAGUGGUGAAAUCAAAGUUCUAACUUCGAGAUUGAUAGUAUAAACAUCACUAAGCUAUGCUUAUUUGGUUCAAAAUGUUGAAUGUGUGACUGGAUAAUCACAGUUUGCCACUUAUUUAUUGUCCAGUUUGUUAUCCGUAUUCUUUUUGUCACGAUUUUAUUUGAUUGCCCUGUGUUUUGCAUAAA